CAAAGUGAGUUCCAGGACAGCCAGGGCUACACAGAGAAACCCUGUCUCGAAAAAAUAAAUUCAAUAAAUAAAUAGAUAGAUAGAUAGAUAGAUAGAUAGAUAGAUAGAUAGAUAGAUAGAUAAAAAUUGAUUUAGGAUUUUUGCCUUUUUCCCUUCUUAUGGUAAAUUUCAGUGUCGCUUUUCUUUUUCUUUUUCUACUUGACCGCCUCUUUCGAUGCAGCAUGAUAAAAUGGAUAAUCCCAUUCUUAUUAAAUAACAGAAGGAAGAAACAUGCUACAAGCCUGUCAUGAGAAUCCAUUAAUCAUCCAAGCAAUCAAAUUGUGGGGCACUGAGAUCAGUAUUAGCCACUGAUGUCCAAAACUAUCCACUUAGGCUUGUCACAGUUGACACCUCAGCCAUCCUUUCUGUCAUCGUGCAACAUGCAGACAAUUCUGUCAAAAGUGGAAAAGCCAGAGCCAAAGCCAGAGCAAGAAGUCGGCACCUGCUCUGUUUGGAUGCUGUGGUUUGAAGGACUCUGCGUGAACCAAUUUCUAGGAAACAGCAUUGAGAUAUUUAAAAAUGGAUUUAAUUUAAAGAUGAAAAUAAGCCCAUCUAACAUUCUUACUUACCCAGUGGAUGGCUUCAAAUGACUGGUUGGAUUUUGUUCAUGAUAGCCAAUACACACUAAGUAUUUUUUUUUAAACUUUAUUAUCUAAGCUAUUUCUGCUUUUCCUUUAAAGUAUUACUCAGAGCCCAGUGCCAUCAAGAUACAGUUCUCAUAAAUGUCAGCCACUUUGUGUCCCCUUUUUAUGAGCUUAUGAUUGGGCACAGAACUUUCCUAAUUUGGUAUUGUUAUCUUGCCUCGCUGUUUAAAUAACCAUGUAUGUCUUUACUUCAUUGUUAAAAAUAUCUUCUUCGAGGUAGACUCUGCCACAUAUUAUUUAUAGUGUCAAUGUCAAAUAGCACAAGAUAGUCUCAAUUUCAUUGAUUUCUUUCUGGGUGUUUGAGCUUUGAAAAUAUCAGGGGCAGGGGGAUGACGGCAUAAGUCAUCCCAUUCAAUGCUUAAGCGUAAAGUGAUGGUUUUUAGUCAGAAGGAUGGUGAUGGGUAAAUACAUUACCAAAAUAAAGUGAGAGUUCAUUUAUAGAGGAACACUCUAAAAUGUUUUCACUCACUUGAUUUCUUUGACAGAUGAGAGGAUUAUGACCAUGUAUGAAUUAAGAAUAAAAAUAUUAGGAUGUUAUGAAAAGAAAAUUGUAUUGUAUGUCACUGAAAUCUUUACUAUUCCCUUAACAAAAGCACAGAACAAAAUUUGGAUGCUUGCCAAGGUCUUGUGGGGGGUAGGGGGGCUGCCAUUGUCUGUCAUACGUGAGAAAGAAACCGGUGCCAAGACAACCAGAAGAUGCAUGGCUUUCAGGUUGCUGCCAUCCUGAGCAUCAUUGUGCCUUUGAACACAAUGUAAAUUGAUACAUGCUGAUGUGAGAUGCUUAUAGCAAUGUAAAAGAGAUCCAGACUCUGACCUGAUCCUUGCUAUAAUUCAUCCCAAGUCCUUCCCUGUUUUAGCAGGGGCUUGGUCAGUUGUCUAGAGUCAGACUUCCAUGGUAUUUUGAAUUUUACUCUUUGUCUUUUCUGUGUUAGUGUCUCUGCUUACCAAACUUCUUCACUGAUUGAAAGAAACACAGACACACUUUGCAUUUUUCCAUGUUUAGUAAGUUAUUGGCAGGGUUUCUUCUAGUCAUUCAUGUCAGCUUUUGUAGGGACAGUCACUGAAUGACUGACAGUUCAAAUCACUCUGUGAUGCUAAGCAGACUACCAUAUGAGCACUAACAGAACUACCACUUACUCAGUCAACACUGCCCUUUUUUUAUUCAUGGGAGCUAACAAUUUCUUCUGUGUUUUCAACACCUUGUAAGGGGAUCUCCCACAUUUUGGGAGAAAGAGACUGUGACCCAGCUUUUUACUCAGAAUAAUUUGUCCUACGUAGCAUUUGGCACAAAUUACAUACAACAAAAUUAUUUGAACUGAUUUGAUUUAUUUCAAACCUCUUGAGAAUGUAUGUUAUAUAAGGAAAAUUUGACUUCAUCCUGGCCCAGAGAACCUCAGGAUAGACACCAGAAGUUGGUUUGUUUUCUUUGAUUCCUAUACUUCUGAAAUGUAAUAUGACCUUACUGAAUGAGUUUCUGCUUUUUUCUUUUUCUUUUUCUUUUUUCUUUUUUUUUUUUUUCUUUUUUUGAGUCACUGUUGUGCUUGACUAUUGGUAAUGUUCCAGGCCAUCUGUCUACCUCGCCUGGCCAUAGAUAGUGACAUCAGAGAUUUUUCUGCCCACAGAGGUCACACUUACAGACGGAAGAAGGUCAGCUAUUACAGAGCAGGCUCUGAGGAAAUGUUGGAUGUAGAUCUGUGUAGGAAAGUUUCCAAGAUACAGACUUUUGAAGGGGACCUGAACAAAGUCAUGGAAAUGAGCACAAUGAAAGCCAGGAGAGGUGCAUCAAUGGCUAUAAGAGAAGCAUCUCAGGACCUCUACCUAGAGUAAUGAGCAGAUGCCACAUGUUUGGACCCUGUUUGGCCUCUGUACUUGUGGCUCUGUAUUUAUUUGUAUUUCAUGAGUGGGAGCCAUAUUCACUCAUCUGUUAUUUUUAUACAAUUUUAUGAUGAAACCCAUUAUUGUUUCAAAAUCCUACCCUUAAUAACACCAUUAUGAUGCUAACCUUGAUGUUUGUAACUAAAGGUCCCUUUUGUCAGUAAAUAAAGCUUCUAACAGUGCUGAAGCAAGUUAAUGUGUGAGUGUGAGUGACUUGCUUGUUCCCUUAGGCACAUGUUAAUCUCACAAGAUGAAAUACAACAAUGAUUAAACCCAAGAUACAGGCUGCUGGGGGCACAAUUCAAAGAGCCGACUAUCAAUUAUCAGGAAGAUAUUUUUAUAGCCUGAGUCCUCCCAUGACAUUCAUCCACCCUCACAACUAAAACUCUCCUGACCUGUAAGGAAAGCUGGUUUCAUCAGAAAGAAUUCAAUGCUACACUUACGCUACUAGAUAGGUUGUGUUAGGAUAGCAUAUUGCAUUUGUCCAGUGUUUUAGAUAGGAAAUCUCUAGGUUAGUCCACAAAUUAUAAAAUUUGUGGAAUAUUCUGCUCAACUCUUAGUUACAUUUUCUUUGACUCAACUCCUCACCUCAAGUAUAGCCCUUGGUAGGUGGAGUAUAGGUCAAAGCAAUAUUUGUUUCACCAAGUCAUCUCAGUUGAAUUCCAGCAGAGUUUAGUAUAUCAUUCAUUUUAUUUCAGUCAUAGAGUAUUGUAUUUUAUAUUAAUACGUGUUCCAUGUAAAAAAUGCUCAAUUUUAAAAUAUUAACUAUUUAGGAUUAAUAUUUUUAAUAUCAGAUUCAUAACCUAUUCAGUAUAUUCCAUAUAUCCUCACAUAUUAUACAAUUUCUGUUUAAGUUAUUAAUGAUUAAUGAAUGAUUCAAGCAAUCAAUAUAAAUAGGAAUUGUACUGUUUUACUGUCAUACUAAUAUCAGAAAUUACAGGUUAUUGAAUCCUGAAUAUCCCCACUUUAAAUGCUUCCUAACUUAUUUAAUAUUUUUUGGUAUUUCUUUUGAUUUUUUCCUCACCAAUAAUCUUACUGUUUGCUACCAUUUUGGCUUAUGCCAUUUUCAUGGUACUAGACUUUAUGAACUGUGCUAUAUGGAAAUUGUUUUGGAUGCCAUUUGUUGAUAAUGACUACUUUCUAAUUGUGGCGCAGUUUAAAGCAAUAUGUAUGACCUUACUCCUGUUGAAGCACAAUGGCCUAA
rnacentral:lncRNA from 1 species